AUAGUAAAUGCCAACCAAUUAAUCAGACGAUUGUUUUGAAGUUCUUUUUAGCCUCAAUGAAGAGGACUUUUACUAAUGGCUUGUUUUAGGAGAAAAUUCAGAAGACUAAUCACAAAAGUAAAAGAAAGAGGGAGAAACAGUGUUAGAAAUCAAAUUUCAUUAAGUAAACAAGAGUUUACAAUUGUACCUUCGCACUUUUACAGCUUUGAAGGGGGUUACAACAACAGACAAACUUAGAGUUAUUCCUAGGAAUUUGAAAUGCAGUGCAGGAAACGACUGGGAAAUAAAGGACUGGAAAGAAAAAUGUAAAGUAAAUAAACUGGUUUCUGGAUCUGGUUUUGAAUCCUAUAAAUGUAUCCAUCAAUGGCUAUUUAUAGGAAAAAAAACUUCCAACAAUAACUACCUAAUAACCACCUAAAACUAUCUACUCUUUCACCUUCAUUCCCACAAUGUCACAUAUCCCUCCAUGUCUUCUGCCAAGUCACUUUGUCCAUCGUAUUCUUCACAUGUGCUUUAACUUCUUCCAUCUUGUCUUUCAUGUUCCACCAUGCAAGACUACUAACUUUGUAACGUCUCUUAACUCCUGAUUGAUCAAGAAAGUGCCACAUGUCCUUGAAUAAUAAUAUUAUUACUAUUUAUGGUGUCAACAAUAGUAUACUUCAAAUAUUUAUACACACAUGGUACAUUGUAACUAAAUAUACAAUAUUGCCUCAUAAUUAUAAAAAAUAAAAAAUGAAAAACAAAAAACCCCAAAUAGUAGGGAGCAUUCUUCGUCUAUAUUGCAUUAACAUCACCAAGCAAGCUCUUAGCCGUGAAGUAGCAUCUAAAUAAAUAACGACAAGAUAAUUAUUACACUGUAACAAAUUUUGGGGACUCAACAAUUAGAUGCCAUGUGCAUGUAUUAAAUUUUCAUAUAACAUAAAUUGGGUACACAUCGAAAAAAUAAUGACAAUAGUGGAGUCCACUCAAUGUAUGUAUGAAAAUUUUCUAUUUACUCUAUAAUUAAUUUGUUGACAAUAGUGCAGGAGUAGAAGAGAAGUAUUGUUUACUACUACUGAACUAUUGUCAACUUUUUUAUUUAGUCCAUAAAUUAUCGAUUGAGUCUGUUUAAGUAUUUAAAGUAAAUUUUAGUCUAUACUUUUAAUGAUUAUAUGUGUAAGUAAAUUUUUGUGGCUACUAACAAAUAAAAUAUUUGUUUGUACUCAUUUAUUUAUCCAUAAACAUUUUAUGAAAAAUAUAUGUGAAAAGGCUCCAUUUUCGGAUUUACCUAAGGCCUCAUAAAUCUCAGGGUUAGCCUUGCCUCUGCUACUGUUUUUAAUCUCCAAAAUCUCUCUACUAUGAUAGACACCAACAUGCGUUGUGUAGUAAACAAAAAUGAAAAAGUACAAAAAUUAAAAACAUGCUUCAGAUGAAGAAAAUCAUUAUCAUCUUUUAGUUGAAAUUCUCUACAUAGUACAAUUAUAGAUCUCCAACAUUCAACAUCUUGAAACAAAAAAUUUAUUUUCUACGAACACAUAUAACAAUUUAUAAGGUACACACUCUCAUAUACCAGAUAUGCUUGUCUUGGAGGCUCCCUUGCUCAUAUUCAUCAUUUCAAACAUCUGCUCCAAACAUGCAUAUAAAUGAAUCAAUUUCCCCCACUUCAAAAAACUAAUUAAUUAAUGAAAUCAUCAAAUCUUCCGUCCCAUCCAAUUUGACAUUAGUUUUAUUGAUUUCUAGAACAACAACAACAACAACAACAAUAACAAUAAUAAUUCUCUGUCUAUCUGGAUAUUGUUUUGGUUUACUUUCUGGUUUGAUUUAGGAUUAAAUUAGAUGAAAAGAAAAUAGAGAAGAGGCAACAAUGAACCAGAGGUAUAAUAGAAAAGGAGAAAAGAGAGGGAUGAAGAAGAGGACUUGGCAAAAGAAAGGAAGUGCUAGAGAGGGAUGAAGAAAGAUAGGAUAGAGUAGGCGAGUUGUUGAUGGCUAGAAUUGAUCGACGGUGCUAUGGCCGGAGGUGGAGGAUACCAAUUAAAGGACGAAGUGAAAUAUGUUGGUAGACAGAGGGUUUACACUAAGAAGAUUUUAUUUAUUUUUUAUAAUGGACACGUGGCAACACAAUAACAAUGGCACAUAUCACUACAAGAAAUUACAAAUUUCCCGACCACUUUUGCUGACUAAAAAAAAUUUGGUCGCAAAAAAUGACAUUUGGUGACCAAAAAAAAUUUUGUCGCUAAAAGUUGAUACUAUUACCGACUAAAGUAAUUUUGUUGCAAAAAAGUAUUUUUUUGCAACCAAAUGAAAAUAUUAGUCGCCAAAAAUAUAGGCGGGAGGUGAAAAUCUGGACAGGAACAGUAAAAACUUUUAGCGACAAACAAUUUAGUUGCAGAUAUCAAAAUAACGUCGUUUUGCUAUCUAAAUACACUGAGGGACCAUGGCCGACCAACACUGUUGUAGGGGAUAACUAAACUAAUUCAAACCUAUAUUGAAAAAAAGGGCGCCUCGCAAUCGAAUUCGAUCACACCUCAGUCGCGCCAAUCACCUCGCCUCACCAUCAACGGUAACGUUAUCGUCUGCCGUUCUCCCCUCUCCACCGUCAGCGCCGCCGUCCGUUUUCACCAUUUCUGAUUCGUCUUCACCUGACACCGUCGUCUAGGGCCCUCACCAUCGCGAUUUUUCGGAGCAUCUUCAAUUCUCCCUAAAAACAAUUUGAGUUCUCCUAAAUAGGUGAAAUAUGCAGUGCAAUCUGACUGAAAAGCUCAUUCAAAGACAUGUGGUACUAGAGAAUACAUAUGCGACUGUGGUACUCUCUUCUCAAGGGAGCCUGCCUUGCGCUGAAUGCUGAGAAAUGGUCCGAAUGCGUCAGAGAAAUUUGCACCUUCCAUGAGUUGCCCUUUCCCGCAGAUGAUGAGAGAUUUCCAGUUGGCAUGGGUAGCAAUCCUGUUUAUCUCAUUGCUGACCAUGUAAUUAAACCAGAGUUUUAAAAGGCUUUCUUGAGGCUCGCCUUGAGGCUAAGGGUUCUUCACAAUCUGCCAUCCUCGGUGAAACUACCGUCAACCUGCUAAUUAUGCUGAUGCAUUGAAGCCUUCUAUCAUUGCACUGCCUCUACAUGGAUCUAGCAAAAGUAGCAAAAGCACAAUUUUCACGUGAUUACAAUGAUCACCUUGCUCUUGUCUGGGCUUAUGAGGGCUGGAAAGAAGUUGAAAGAGCCGUAGUUGGUUAUGAAUACUGCUGGAAGAAUUUUCUUUCUGUUCAAUCAAUGAAAACUAUUGAUGCUCUGCGAAGGGAGUUAUACUCUUCACUUAAGGAAUAUGUUUUAAAUUUUAAUGCUACAUGGAUGUGAAUUGAAUGAUUAUAUAGAUUACAAGAGGAUUUUUAAUUGAAAGAAUAUGUAGUUUGGAAUUACUUGUGGAUGAAAACUUAUAAUAGUUGCGGACUUUAAUUAAACAGGUUCAGAAUUUGAUGAUUUAUAUAUUUUGUUGAAUGUUCAUGAUU